UCUAGGACCUCAUCAUCCUCCACAUCAUCUUCCACCCACUCCUCAACCCUGCCCUCAUUGCGGGUCUGCACACUGCAGAAAGCCACAGCAGUUGGCACCUGUGUUUUUCCAGCAUGUAAAGUCUGCAAAGGACAUAUGGAAAUUGUUUUAGAAUUGUAUCCAGGCAAAAUUUUUCCCUAUAAACUGACCUCUCAGUUUGACUUGUGAGGGUAUUGCCCCCGAAUUACAAUAUUGUUAUAUUGGUAUUUGACGCUUCUAUUUGACUCUAAGAUAUGAAGAGCAGGGCCCAAAAUGUACUAUCUAGCAGAUUAGCAGCAAAACAAUUAGAAUGUUUACAACUGCGCUUUAAGCGCUCUAUUUGACACUUCUAUUUGACUCUCAGAUAUGAAAUGCACCCCACUAAUGUACUUUUUAG